GCGGUUAAAAAAUAUCUACCCACCACGCACGCACGAUCUCUCGCCCCCCGCAUCCUCCCGCACGGGCCGUUCCUCCACGCCCGCACGACCUCUCGCCAUCUCCUCCUCCCGCACGGGCCAUUCGCCGCCCCGCCGUUCCUCCCGCGGCCGUCAGCCGCAGCCAGAGCCACACCUCCCCGCCGCUCAGCUUGGCGGAGCCGCCGGAGCCACCCCCUUCGCCGCCAUCCAGUAGCUGGCAACCGGCGCGCUCCCACGUCGCCGCCGGUGGGCCGCCGCAAGACCGUCGUCGGCCGCGUCCGUACACUCAUCCAUCUGCAUAGCCCCGGCUUCGUCUCCUCCGCGCCGAGGCUGUACGCGCCCUUGAUUUGGACGGCAGUACCACCGGGGCGCAUCACCUUCUUGCGCCUCCCACAUCGGCCUCCAUCUCCAUGGUCGCAAGGGCUUGCCGGCAACACCUGAUCUUUGAUCUGGUUUGUAUGCAUGCGUGUGUGUGAUUAGUUUCAGCGGCCACAGGGUCGUUGUAGUAAGAUGAUGCAUCACGCAUUGAAUGGAACCAUAAGGCUAGGAGCGCGUGCACACACUGGCGUCGGCGGCACGGUGUCAAGCUGCGGAGAAGGCAUCCGGCGAGGCGGCCACCAGGUGGAUAAGUGGAUGGCACAUGUGUAUAUUGUUGUUGAGGGAUUAUAUUCGACAUUUUAUUUUUAUCCCAACACUAGAUUGAAGUGGUGAUUUACAAAGGAUUUUUAGUGGGGCACAAGUGUAGAUUGAUAAAAAAGCAUGCUGAAUUGUGAAGUAGUACCAUGCUAGAAUUACUUGGCUACAUUUUUUUUGUUUCUUUGAUGCAAUGUAAUCUUUGUUGUUCCUGUUAUUAGUGAAUUUUCUAGAACAUCGGGUAAGCACUAUGCUAAAAAAAAGCUAUUCUAGAAAAGGAUGAGAAGAGCUAUUCCAGAAAAGGAUGAGAAGAGCCUCAAGGUACAUUCUUUUUAUUCUUCCAGUGUGUCUUACAUAUUUUCUAGCUUGCAAUGCUUUAUAAGAUAUUUCAUAUGGAGGUCAACGUUGAAAAAAAAGGAGUAGUCAACUUGUGGAGAACAAUGUUAAUCAAGCUCUCAUGAUAUUCCCUCUGCUUCAAGAUGUUUUCUCAACUAUUUGUUAACAUGCUUCUGAACUUUGAUUUUCUUUACUAAACUAGACCAUUGUGCAGGUGUUGGUUCAUGAUGGGUCGUCCUUAAAAAUCUUGACAAUUACCCUUGACACAACACAUGGGAUGUGCUCAAUCCUACUUAUUUUUGUCUAUUAUUUUAUAUAUGUUUUUCACCUCAGAGAUUUUAUUAAAUUUCAGUUGGGUUAUAACAAGAGAUGCAAAUGAAGAACUUUAUUAUGGGUUUUCAUAAAACAAAUAUGUACUUCCAAAUACCUUGAAGGUUAUUGAUUAUAUGCAGCAAGGCCAUUUGAUUAAGUUGGCUCUUUUUUGACACCAAUUUAUAUGCAAGCUAUUUGAAUAUAUAUUUGCGAAAGAAAGUACAGAAGUGUGUUUGGGUGAGGCCAAGAUUAAACAUCUCACAUUUUGUUUCAGAAAUCAUCUCUACUUUAAGUCCAAGAGGUCAUCAGGUGAUGAGAUGGAUGAACUCCCAGUUUGCAUUUAUUGGGAGCUAUGAAACUGGUAAAAUGAUUAUGGUUCCCGCAACUCCUAAGCCUAUUACAUUGGAACUUGGUGAAGAAGACCUAUUCCUAUUUGAGUAUGUUGACAUUGACAAAAGGCAGCAAAGGGAACAAGUAUUGAAGGGGGCAUAAAGAACUAUGGGAGAAGCGUCCAUUUGACAAGCUCAAAGUCAUUGGUUCGCACUACCGUGGUUAUAUCAAAGAUUCAAUGGGAAAGAAAGUUAGCUUGUUCACCAUCUUGACUGCAUUUUCAUUGUUUCUUAUUAGGCCUGAGAUGUAGAUAUACUGGUAGGCAUUCUUCACCCAUUAUGACUGAAGCCUGAUUAUCACAUUGUAUUGCUAUGCGUUACAAACUGUUUUUGAAAUGUAACUCCUGCACAUCAUACGAGAACUUGGUUUAGAUUAUGAUUAUUCAUUUACAUAUCAUUAUUUA